rnacentral:lncRNA from 1 species
ACAUUUUAAAUGCUUGGAUUCUGUAGUGGCAAGGAGCCUAUGGCAUGGACUUGACAGCAUUCACAGCUCCAUCUCUGCGUGUGUCACAUUCUCAGCAAGGUUUAGCGACUGAGAGUGUGUGGCCAGAGAAAUUCCCUUCCCUGCAGUCUCCUGAGAGCUCACGUGGGUGGGAUUAUCCAGCCUGGUUAUUGCUGGGGUCACGGCCACCCUCUAUGCUAGAACUAGUGAAGCAAUGUGGUUUUUGGCAGCUUCACGCACUUACUGGGGAAAGCAUUGCCUCCGUUUUAACUUUUAGAGGUUUUUUUUCAAAGUCUUGGGACACCUUGGGUGAGGCAACCUUUAAACCUGGGUGAAUUCUUAUUGCCCUGCUGUUGAGAAUGGUGAGCAGGGACAGAUGAAGGAAAGAAGGAAGAGGGUGCAGGGUGAUAGAAAUAGCUGAGAAAGAGUAAUGGAAGGGAAAUCGUUAUGGUGAUAGUCUUGGCAGUUUCAGAGACCCAAAAAACACAGAUUCUACUAGGACCACCGCUGCUUAUUUAAUGAAGUCGAUAUUCACAUAUGUGCACUUAUAAAAAGGUG